rnacentral:rRNA from 1 species
UACGUAGGGCGCAAGCGUUGUCCGGAAUUAUUGGGCGUAAAGAGCUCGUAGGCGGUCUGUUACGUCCGCUGUGAAAACCCGGGGCUUAACCCUGGGCUGGCAGUGGAUACGGGUAGACUAGAGGCAGGUAGGGGAGAAUGGAAUUCCCGGUGUAGCGGUGAAAUGCGCAGAUAUCGGGAAGAACACCCGUGGCGAAGGCGGUUCUCUGGGACGGUACUGACGCUGAGACGCGAAAGCGUGGGGAGCGAACAGG